ACCCUCCAGAUUCCUUACCCGGCAGAUCUAAAUAUUGGUCUGAAUGGCUAAAAAAAGAGGAAAAGUGAAACUGAAGUGGAGUUGGGGUCCUCAGUGACAUACAAGU
rnacentral:snoRNA from 1 species